rnacentral:rRNA from 1 species
CAGCCGCCGCGGGAAAACGGAGGGUGCAAGCGUUAAUCGGAAUUACUGGGCGUAAAGCGCACGCAGGCGGUCUGACAAGUCAGAUGUGAAAUCCCCGGGCUUAACCUGGGAACUGCAUUUGAAACUGUCAGGCUGGAGUCUUGUAGAGGGGGGUAGAAUUCCAGGUGUAGCGGUGAAAUGCGUAGAGAUCUGGAGGAAUACCGGUGGCGAAGGCGGCCCCCUGGACAAAGACUGACGCUCAGGUGCGAAAGCGUGGGGAGCAAACAGGAUUAGAUACCCGCGUAGUCCCUGUCUCUUAUAC